UACGGGGGGGGCAAGCGUUGUUCGGAAUUACUGGGCGUAAAGCGCGUGUAGGCGGCCCUGCAAGUCGGAUGUGAAAUCCCACGGCUCAACCGUGGAAGUGCAUUCGAAACUGCAGGGCUAGAGUCCUGGAGAGGAAGAUGGAAUUCCCGGUGUAGCGGUGAAAUGUGUAGAGAUCGGGAGGAACACCGGUGGCGAAGGCGACUACCUGGCCUGUUCUUGACGCUGAGGCGCGAAAGCUAGGGGAGCAAACGGG
rnacentral:rRNA from 1 species